rnacentral:lncRNA from 1 species
CCCAGAAUCAGGUUUCACCAAAAUCAAUUUCCAUCCCCAAUCGUUUGAUAAUCCCUUUCCUUCCCCUAGCCCUUCAUUGUUCCCCCAUCUCUCAUGUCCAUCUCUCUAGUACUACUACCAUUUCUCCACCGGUGAAUCAUUUUCUCUCUUCGGAUAAAUCACUUCACGGAUCGCUUUCCUCUUCUUCAUCGUCAAGAUCUUCAUUGUUUGUCUAGGGUUCACGGAUCUUCUCCAUCGCGUUCAACUUCAAAGCUUGCAAAAUUUUAAACCAAAUCAUCCAGGUUAGAACUACGUUUGGACAAUCGAUCUCAAAAUUUUUGUUGAUGUUGCAGUUAAGGGUAGAUAUUUUAAUCAGUUUAUUAGUGGCGAUUGGUUGUCUUUUUCUAUACCAACUGAUUCAAACAUCCAAAGUAUAAAAUACAUUGUACUUCCGGUUGAAGUCCCUGGUAUUGGUACUUUGGUCUCUAAUAACUAUUUACCUUAGCAUUUUCAAGAAGACAUAAUGAUGGGCAAGAAAUAUGUUUGGAUAAUUGAUCUUCAAAUUUUUUGUUGACAUUGCAGUUAAGGGUAGAUAUCAAUCUAUGAAGAGAAGCUUUUGAGUUAAGUUUUAUGAUAGUCAAUUCCUCACCCAAAAGAAGGUUUAGGCCUCUCGUGUAAACAUUUUAGAAUUUGGAAUAUGUUACUUGUUACACAAUGUUUUGCUAACAUUUGGAAUAUGUUACGGAUCGAACUUAUUAUUGAAGUUAUAAUAUUAUGAUUUCUAC